rnacentral:rRNA from 1 species
AGGUGCGAUCAUACUAGCGUUAAUGCACUGGAUCCUAUCAGAACUUUGCAGUUGGGCUAGAGUAGUACUGGGAUGGGUGAUCUCCCGGGAAGUCCUAGUGUUGCACCCU